rnacentral:lncRNA from 1 species
CCCACUUCACAGCAGCCCCCCACAGCUCCAAAUUCUCCGUCCUUCUGCAACACCCACCUCCACUCUCCCCCUUCACCCCAACGCCGCCGCCCUUCUCAACCAACGUCAACGACUCAAGCUCUGAGAAUCCGUCCGAGAAUGAAAAGGCGUCAUUGGGUUUAAGCACCGCAGAGACGAAUGUGUAGACCAGAGCACAGGAAACCAAAACCACCAAGAGGAUGACGAAAGAGAAGUAAUGGGUGGCUUCUGGGUCAUUUUGCUUCUAACCCAUUUGAGAAUUGGGGGAGAAGAGUGAGACCUGGAAGGUGAUUUAGGGUAUGUGGUCUCGAUUAAGGGUAAAGAAUUGAGCUUGGAGAUUAUGGCGUUGACUUUGGAAAAAGAUUGAUCAUGGAGAGAAAUAGAGGAACACCAGAAUAGGGAACUGGGCAACUGAGUCAAUGCUCGCAUCCAAGACCUCGCUUAUUGCCAAAGGCUUCACCAUGGAAAAUGUCGGAAUGGGUGGUACAGAACCAGGGGAAGGAACCCUCAUGAGAUAAACUCUAUCAUUCUCCUUCACAGCCCUCUACAGUCGGCGUACUUGAAGAUCCUCUGGGCCCCACAUUGACAACCACAUCAAGCUCAACGUUGGCGGUAAGUACUUCGAGUUUCUUCUCGAGGCCUUAGUUCCUCCGCCAAGACUUGGUUUGGAAGUCGAGUCUACGGGUCCGCCCGAAGUCCGGACGCUAACUCCUUGCAGCUUCCCAGUCUCCUCAUCCAUCUUCAGCACCAGACCCCACUCGGCAGCCCUCUGCACGACGUCGUCGGACGGCUUGUCGUUUGCAUCGACAGAGGAGGAGGAGAUUGUCUGCUGAAUAUUGGACAGCGGAGAUGAGGUUGAGGAGUGGUGGGCCACGUCCUUGAGGGCCAUCCAUGAAGUUGUGAUGUCGGCGGCGCUGGUGGACUUGGAGGCGAGGUUGGGUAAUAGGUCGGGUUACGGGGUGGUGGCAAGUGGGUUUAUCUAGCUCUGCCACGUAUGCUGGGAACGAAAGGCCGAUGAACCGGUUGUAGUUUUUGUUGGUUUGGUAGCGGAAGAGAAGGUGGAGGGGUUGAAGACUUCGAGAGAGUCGCGGGAGUCUCUUGGGAAUGACGGGAUGAGGGAGGCGGGUGGCGUUGUGUCUGAGAAUUGUUCAUUUUCCAUCUCUUGCCCUCAAUAUAUGAUUGAGCUUCUGGUAUCUUUCUUUACAGACUGGAAAUUGGUUGGCAGCAGCUAAAACAACAAAGGCAGAAGCAUAAGUAGUAAUAGAUCUAGGAGCCCUUCAUCCGACCCGUAUAACUCAAUUAGCAAUGCUUCUUGUGUUUUUCUGUCGUACUAGAUAGAAAGUAAGAUUUCUAUAAUUUUGCACUGGGAAAGCUUUGGGUUGUUGGGUUUUUGCAGAUUCACGGCGGAGAUGAAAAAUUAAGAGAGAACCGACAUAGCUUUUUGUGUCGUUUCCCACAGAUGGCACCAAAUGUUGAUGCACAAAACCGGAGGAGUCUUGGAACAACAUAAAUCCGGCCAUGAAUCUGCAAGAAAGUAAAUAACACAAGAAGUAUCGUGGUUCACCCUAAUGUUUGGGUUACGUCCACACUGAUAUUGUAUUUCUUUGUUUGUGAGAGGAUUAUAAGGGAAAUGGAGCCUCUGAAGGUGAGAGAAUGAGAGCUUCUGAGGGUGAGAAAGCUCUCCCGAGUAUUUAUACGAGAUCUAAAUACGGAGGCCCUAAGUAUGGUACAAACAAUGCUUAAAGGUAUUUAGACAGCUUUUUUAAUUAAUUAUUAAACCCAUAUCAGCACAUAACAAAUUUUUUUACAUAAUUGUGGCAGAAGGAUCAUAUUGAUUUGCGACACCUAUUUUCAAGGACUACAUUGAUUGAUUUUCAAUUUUAGAAACCAUAUUGAUGGUGUGGGUCAAUUUUAGAUACCAUUUGUGAUAAAAACUCAUAAAUCUUGUGGGGCCAUUUAUGUGUCACAUCAACACUUAACGGAAUUUUUAACAGAAUGGUGACGAAAUGACCACAUGGAUUUGCGACACCUAUUUUCAGGGACUACAUUGAUUGAUUUUUAAUUUCAGGGAUCAUCUUGAUAGUGAGGGUUAAUUUCAGGGACCAUUUGUGAUAAUAACUCAAUUUUUUAUAUUUUUUAGAUCUUUCAAAAUCUCAACACCUAAAGAUGCUUCAAGCCACCUGAUUUAUGUUGUUCACUUGUUUGCUUACAAAUCCACUACAUUAAUAGGUUAUGUGUAAAUGUGAAGGUCAAAGUCUCACGUAGGUGAUGGACUAAACCAUGCAGUGGUUUAGAAUGAGUUGAACUACUACUUACAUUUCCAUUGGGUUUUAUAAAGAAACAUUAACUAUUUUAAUAGUAUUAGAGCGUAGGUUAGCCAACUACCACAUGUGUUCCACGUCAUUUAACUUGUGUUCUUCAUAUUUUUUAUUUAAAAAUUUAUCAAACGUGAAGAGAUGUGUGCGAAUGUGAAAAUGCAGUCUCUCAUUAGUGAUGUACAACACCUUACAAAAGAGAUUUAAACGACUGUUUUUCAGUCUUUGAAACUUUUAAGCAUAUUUGAUUUGAUAAAUUAAGUUUUGAGACACUUGGCAAUUCCAUAAGCCAUCCUUUCUUUUCUUGCCGAAAUAAAAAAAUAAAAUGUUAAUCUCAAUUUACUUUCAUAAAUUUUCUUGGCUUUUAACAUUUCAUAUAUCAAUUUUUUUUGUUCCAGUUUGAUACCUAAAUGUGUAAUUUUGAAACGCUUUCGCACAUCCGUUAAGUUUUUCAUCAGAUACUCUGUUAAGUGAUGACAUGACGCUCACGUGAUUAUUAAAAAUAAAAAAAAUAAUAAAAACUCACUCCUUCCACUCCUCUCUCCGCCUCCCUCAAAGCCCAUAAGCCCCUAACCAUAAUCUGGUCCUCCCAAUCCAAACCACCACCACCCAAGAAACGAGCCGCCGCCCACCACCACCCAACAACCAUAAUCUGCAAAUGAUAACAGGGGGCAGAAGAAGAAGAAGACUUGAAUUUUUUUUUGUUUUUUAAAUUAAUAGCUAAAGUUUUCUUAUUAAGCGAGCCACAACCUUUUUGAUUCAUAAAGAAAGAAGAGCUCCACUCUUUCCUUUCCUCUACCCCUCUAAUUGGCUAACCCCACCGCAAUGGUGUCAUGGGCCAUGGCUCUCGCUCUCAGCCCCAACUCCACCUGCCUUGCCUCCGAUUCCGUCGACCACGCCAUCAAGCUAUACAUGUUUCUAGGUCAAUAUCUUCCUCCCAUUUCUCUCGAUUUUGGUUUUUCAAUUUGUUUGAGUUUGUGUUUGAAACUAAUAUCAAUAAGCAAAAAUUAGAUCCCUAAUUCGAUUGCAGCAACCGAUCCAUGGUCUGAGCCAGAAUCCGACUCACUCCGAAAUCGGAGAUCUUGACCUAGUUCCUCGCGUUGAUCAGAAGAUUCGAGCGUUUGAUAUCGCGUUGGACGAUCUUCCGGCAGUGGAGGUAGGCGAGGCCGUUGAGAAUGGCCCAUGAGCAAAAGAGAGGACAGGCGAUGGUGGAGAAAUUGGGGGAGAAAAUAAAAAAAAAAUUUAAAAUUUUUUAAUAUUUACGUGAGCCAGAUUGACACAUUUCGUCUAGUUAUUAUCUAUAUGGUACCAUGUCAGUUAACGAAAAUUUUGACGGAAAAUUUAUGAAGUUCUAAAAUUAUGUAUCAAACUGGAUCGAAAAGAAUUUAAUGUAUGAAAUGUUAAAAAUCAAUAAACUUUAAGAUAGUAAUCUGAAAUUAACCAAAAAAAAAACAACCAAAUCCAGUUAAAAUGUAGCUUAGUCAGUGGAGAUGCACAGCUACUUCGAAGCGUUCAGACAAAACAUGAAAAUAGCAUAUUGAAUUCAAUUUAUACUAACAGUUGUUCCAAUUUAAUUCAUUUCGCUUUUCUUGUAAAGAUUCUUACUUUCUCAUUUUCUUUUGCAUGUUUGACGUUUCCCGUUAUAUAUGCAUUGAUUCUUCUUUAUAAGAAUAAGAAAAUAUCUGUAAAGAAGAAAAAGUGAAUACGAAGAUCACUUCCCGUUACUUAUGGCCCCGAUUCUGCGAAUGCUGGGCCGCAUCCCGCUGCAUAGCUUGAAUCAUAGACAAUGAUUGCUGCAGCCAUGCGAAUUCUCCUUUGAUUUCCCAGAGAAGACUGAAUUCUUGUUCGGCAAGUGAAGCCACCCUCGUCAGCUUCCCCUCGGCAGCAAAAGUAACAAGUUCUGCCAUCUUUCCUUACAAGCUGUUGAACGAAAAGAACACAGUGAAUAAUCUCAGUUCUGCGGCUGCCGGCACGUGGGUUGUCAGCAGAAGAGGUAGAGGAGCUGUCGGCUGGGCUGACGUCAGGAGGAGUGGCCCAGGCGCGGCUCAGAGGCGCCGAGCUGAGAGAGCUGGGGCGCUGUUCAGAGGAGUUGGGCUGGGGCGCUGGGCGGGGGCCAUGUCAGGAAAUGGACCAGCGGAAGAGGAGGAAGUGGGAACUGACACGGACCGCGCUGGCGCAGUGGGCUGGCAAGAGGAUGGCCCAGGCAGCAAGAAUUGAUCAUAAUGGAGCAUAAUGACAAUGAUACUGUUGACUCGCCACUGCUGAAAAUCUCAAAGCAUAUCAUAAAGACAGAAGUCCGCAACAAAAAAUACCGACAGAAAAAAUCAGAGCAUUGAGCAAUGGAAUUCCCAAAUCAAAGAACCACCAUCACCGUCAUCAUGAUCAGAGGGACGAUGAAGAAAGACAGAGUUACCCGCCACCGGGAACUACGCUGUCUCCCUUUGAUCAACCUCCACCUCCUCCAAGACCUUACCACUAUGGAGAGGAUCAACCUCCACCUCCUCCAAAACCUUACUACUAUCGAGACGAUCAACCUCCACCUCCUCCAAGGCCUUACUACUAUGGAGAGGAUCAACAUCCACCACCACCACCACCUUCCUGCUACAGAGAAGAUCAACCACCACCGAAUUCAUACUACGAAGCAGAUAGACCACCACCGAUCCGUGUGAGCCAUGUGUCCCACUCUUCCCAUGGUUAUGCACCUCCAAGUCCACCCUCCCAAUCCCAAGGGCUUCUCCACCACCAACCACCAGCGCCACCAGUACAGAAUUACGACUACCCAUCGUCACAAGCUACUCCAAGCCCACGGCCUGUUACCGUGCACCAUGUUGCUCAUCAAGUUCACCAUGAAUCCCCUGCUCCUCAGUUUGGAACUGAAACCCAUCACACCUCUCACUUGCCCUCUUCCUCUCCCCACAACUCUUACCUCUCGAACAAGCCCACUUUCAGAAUCUUCUCAAAGGCCGACCCCAAUUUAUCUCUCAGCAUCAGAGAGGGCAAGGUCAUUCUUGCCCGAUACCAACCAACCGAUGACUUCCAGGUCACUAGUCUCUUUCUCUCCGUCCCUCCAUUUGAUUUAUUAUUUCUCCUUGUGUGUGAAUGUUAUUGGAUUUGCUAAUUUCUGGAUUGGAUUGAUUGCAGCGGUGGUAUAAAGACGAGAAGUACAGCACACAAGUGAAGGACGAAGAGCGCUUCCCUUCCUUUGCUCUCAUCAACAAAGCCACUGGCCACGCCCUCAAGCAUUCCAUCGGAGCCACUCAGCCUGUAUGAUUCUUGUUUCCAAAACUUUAUAAUUUGCUGAAUGUUGUUGAAACUUGUCAAGAUUCGCCUUUUUUUAUGGUUCCAUGUAUUUUGUUUGCCAUUGCUAGUAGUAAUAUUGAAGGUCUAGCGGUUGUUUAAUAUGUCACCAUCAAUACCGCACUUGGACACUGUGUGGAAGGAAAUCUUCAGAAUUUCAAAGCCUUUCUCUUUUAAGUUUUUGUUUUUCCUGCCCAACAUUUUUGUCUUUAAUUGGUGUAUGCUUUGCUCUGUGUUUUAGACUUGUAAAAGUACCAAUUUCUAUGCCAAAAAAAAAGAAAUUUAUAAGUGGAAGAAAAAGUUUCUUCACAGUGCCUCCAGUCUUGUGCACAUGCAAAUUAUAUUUCUUGGAUUCUAAAAUCUUUCAUUGCUUGGUGUGGAGCCUAGAGAUGAUAUGAAUUUUAAACCAUCACUACUAAGUCUGUCUUGUUUCAUGUUGCAGGUGCAGCUGAGACCUUAUAAUCCAGAUGUUCUUGAUGAGUCUAUGCUGUGGACUGAGAGUGCGGACUUAGGUGACGGUUUCAGAACUGUUAGGAUGGUUAAUAACAUUCACCUUAAUGUGGAUGCUUUUCAUGGUGACAAGAAAUCUGGGGGUGUUCAUGAUGGCACUACCAUAGUCCUGUGGAAUAAAAAUAAAGGAGAUAACCAGAGAUGGAAGAUUGUACCUCACUGUAAGUUUUCUACAUAUAACUCGAAAAACCAAGCAAUUUCCUUGCAAAUUUUUCAUUAUGCUUACUUGCAUCUUUGGAUUGCUUAACGGUUUUCCCAAGCAAUGUUAUCUCUCAUUAAGUCAUAAGAUUCCUAGUAACUAAUUUCAUUCCCUUUUAAUGAUGCUAAAUGCAGGAUCCUUUUGCAGUAAUGCUGCCAUGAGUUAUUACAACAUCGCAUGCUUAAAAAGGUAUUAAGUUUGGAAGACUCCUCCUAGUUCUCAUGGUGAGGGAUUUGAGUUUGAUGUUUAUGAUGUUUGAAACUAUUGAUGUAUGAUUAAGUGUCAACUACUACAACUGUGGCUCAUACAUAUAAUGUGUUAGCGAAAGCAAAGAGUUGAUUAUGUAUUAUAAUCUAUCGAAAUAAUUAUCUACUGUUUUUGAACAACUUGUUGCAAUGCCUAAAUUUGUUCGCUGUCAUUAUUACUUGUUUCUUUACUUAGGAUGCUUUUAGUUACACCUCGAGGUACCAAUCAUAAAGGCAUAGGUUGAUGUAGCGUGUAAAAGAUAAGUAUUGAAUUCUUGAGGUGCGAUUGCACUUGAUUAUGGAUCAAGUGCAUGUGCUUGGGUUGCCUAAAUCUCUCCUAAACCAAUGGUUCCCAAGGUUCGGUUGAACCACCACAACCAAGGUCUUGUGACUGAAAGAGUUUCCGAGGAACUCAUGCAGACAGAUCAGUGAAGAUACAUGACUCGAGAUGUUAUUGAAAUUUGAUGCUUACCCAUUUAGGUUAGUAAAUUUUUAUAUUUAUGGUUUUAGACUCUGUUUCUUUGGAGGAUUUUAGAGAAGAAAGGAGUACGAAUAGCAUAUAUCCAAGCUAUACAGGAUAUGUAUGAAGGAGCAAAGACUGCCGUAAGAACUCAUGAAGGACAAACCGAAAGCUUUCCCAUAACUGUAGGAUUACAUCAAGGCUCAUCCUUAAGUCCUUACCUUUUUGCGUUGGUAAUGGAUGAGUUAACAGGACAUAUUCAAGAUGAUAUUUCUUGGUGUAUGCUUUUCGCAGACGAUAUAGUGUUGAUAGAUGAAACUCAGGAAGGGGUAAAUGCAAAGCUUAACCUUUGGAGAGAAGUGUUGGAAUCUAAAGGUCUUCGUCUAAGCCGAUCAAAGACAGAAUAUAUGGAGUGCAAGUUCAGUGCAAAUGGAGGCCAAAACGAGUUAGGGGUG